GGUCCAUUACUGUCAAGAUGGGGUUUACAUUUCCCUUCUACAUGUGAUUCAUCACAAGAUUCGAUCAUUUUGUUUGCAAACUCUUUCUCUCAGGCAUUGAAGUUGUCGCGAGGUCACGAGGCGAUACAAUCCUCAGGCCCCUGGAGCUGAGACCGCUGUGGCUAUAAAGGUCAACGCCUCCCUCUUGUGAUGAAAGCAAGUAAUGCAUCUUUGGACCGACAUCAGUAAAUCAUGACAUGAUUCCAGCUGAUUGGAGCUCAUUCUCACAGCACCCAUUCACUGCAGAGGAUCCACUGGUGAACAAGUGAUGUACCGUAAUGCUAAAUUUCUCUGAAUCUGCUCUGAUGAAAACAUAAGCCUACAUCAUGGAUGGCCUGAGAUAGUUCCCC